GCCUUGUUUGCCAGCCUUGAUAUUUAUUUUCCAAACAUUCUUUUGACUCCUCUGUUUUCUCAGGGAAAUUUAGGCUUGGUUCCACCAGCCUGACAUACCUCCUAAUUCUUAGCACGGAGAGGAACCUCAGAUGCAGAGAGGCAGGGGGGAAAGGAGAGCCAUACCAUAAAAGCUGAUUUAUUGUAUUUGUUUAUUUAUUUGCUUGCAGAAAGUCUGGUUUGUCCUUGGCUGAGCAGAAGGGGAUGGCUGGGGCUUACAGCUCGGCUACGUGUCAGAGCAGGCAUCAAGGAAGUGGAAUCUGGGGAUUUUCUUAAAGUGACUUAUUUAUUAUGCCAGAAAAACUGGUCAUGGGAGGGGGGAGAUUGUUGUCAGCACGUGGGAAACCUCCUGUUUCAGCAAUCUCGGAUGAAAGAUUAAUGUCUAAUUCUCUACUGGGUCUGGUAAGAUUGAUUAUCCUGCUGUUUGCAAUACCCCCCUCAAAAGGAAUGUACGUCACUAAAUGACCAAUCCUAAAACCCAAGCUGUGUGGUACAGUCGUGGUGCUGGAGGGAGGCACGUCAUCCAGGGAGACCUGGACAGGCCUGAGAGGUGGAUCCAUCUGUACCAUGAAGGGCAACGAGGGCAAGUAUGAAAAUUCCACAAUGUUUAGAAAGAGUCGAGGUGAGAUGGCUGUGCCCUUCUCAGCUCCCAGAUCCUCCUCUGGAUAGUAGGAACAGAGCGUGGCCCUGCAUGGUAACACCCAGAAUGGAUUCCAGCCUUUCUGUCCAAGCAAGUUUCAGAGCUGUUCUUCUGUCUACACAGGUGUGUAAGGAACAUGAACAUCAGCCUGGUCCUGAAAUUCAGCUUAAACCCCAGAAACCCAGCAGCCCUGGUGCCAUUUGUACACAGCAGAAGAGCAGUGCAUCUCAAGACUGUAUUCAAUUCCUUUCAGUAUUCCUAAAUCUUGCUGCAAAAAAUCCACAGAUGAAGCAUGAAAUUCAUUUUACUCACAAAGAUAAGCCAGAAAUAGCUAUUUGAGGUAUCAGCAGAAUAACCUGAGUGUAGCAUCUUGGUAAGUAAAAGGGUGUGAGGUUCCUGCAUUGAAUGAGCUAUUCUGAGCCCAGCUGGGGCCAGUCUCAGUCUGUGGCUGAGUCUACUGGCUCCUCCUGCUUGUGCUGAUGAAGGAGGAUGACAUGACACCUUUGUGCCCCACCUGAGUCUAAGUCAGCCCUCAGAGUACACAUCGGAAGGAGUUUUCCUGGUGUUCACUAGAAAAGCAUACAAUGUUCUGUAGUGAGCAACUCCAGAGGCAAGGAUAUGCUUCUCAGAAUUACCUGGGGGGACUGCAGGAGAACAGCUUCUUUUGAAGGCAGUCCUGCAAUUAGGAGUUUUCAGAACUGAGCCUUGCCCGGUUUGCUUUGUCUGAACUUUUCCUGACCCGCCUGAGCUUUGUUUCACUGUGACAACAAUUUCUCUAUUUGACUGGGUGCCUACAUCUGAUUUAUUUUGCUUUCAUUUAUCUUUCUGUGUUAUGAUCAACCAUAAUUUACACGGAUGGCAGGAGCAAGAAAUGAGAUGCAAACAUCCAUAACACCAUGAUGUAAUAUGGAGAAAUACAGGCCUGGAAUGAUAGCAGAGACCUUGAGAAGUGGAGAUACAGGAUGCAAUAUAAAGGAGUGCAGGAGUGGGAUGAGAAGUGAUAGGGCACUGGCUAAAGCUGGAGACCUCCUGGUUAUAAACAACUAACCCACAGUCAGUUAAAGAAAUGCAGACAUGGACAGAACUAGUUUUAGGGGCAACAAAGAGAACAAAGAAAUAAUAUCUAAUGUACAUACAUGGCACAAAAUACAGCAAAUUUGGACAUGGGACGGAUGACUCAAGAAGAAAGAUAAGGUUAUGAAAUAAUAUCAGCAAACAUAGAAAAAAGAUCUAAAGUGGAUCUCAAAGGAAGAAAUGAUAAGCCACUAACAUAAACAACAUAUUUUGAAUUGUAUUCUUGCUGUUUUUAAUUCUUCUGUGCUGAAUUUUGAAUUAUUAU
ensembl:lncRNA